GAUGAACGCUGGCGGCGUGCUUAACACAUGCAAGUCGAACGGAAAGGCCCAAGCUUGCUUGGGUACUCGAGUGGCGAACGGGUGAGUAACACGUGGGUGAUCUGCCCUGCACUUCGGGAUAAGCCUGGGAAACUGGGUCUAAUACCGGAUAGGACGAUGGUUUGGAUGCCAUUGUGGAAAGUUUUUUCGGUGUGGGAUGAGCUCGCGGCCUAUCAGCUUGUUGGUGGGGUAAUGGCCUACCAAGGCGUCGACGGGUAGCCGGCCUGAGAGGGUGUACGGCCACAUUGGGACUGAGAUACGGCCCAGACUCCUUCGGGAGGCAGCAGUGGGGAAUAUUGCACAAUGGGCGCAAGCCUGAUGCAGCGACGCCGCGUGGGGGAUGACGGCCUUCGGGUUGUAAACUCCUUUCGCUAGGGACGAAGCGUUUUUGUGACGGUACCUGGAGAAGAAGCACCGGCUAACUACGUG
rnacentral:rRNA from 1 species